rnacentral:rRNA from 1 species
UACAGAGGGUGCUAGCGUUAAUCGGAUUUACUGGGCGUAAAGCGUGUGUAGGCGGUUCGUUAAGUCGGAUGUGAAAGCCCUGGGCUCAACCUAGGAAUUGCAUUCGAUACUGGCGAGCUAGAGUACGGUAGAGGGCGGCGGAAUUCCGGGUGUAGCGGUGAAAUGCGUAGAUAUCCGGAGGAACACCGGUGGCGAAGGCGGCGAGCUGGUCCAUUACUGACGCUGAGGCGCGACAGCGUGGGGAGCAAACAGG